UGCAUUUUCUAUCGUCUCCGGAAGUGAAAUUUAACUGCGAAUUGGUUCCCAUUUCGCAAUGCGUGUUUAAGUCCCAGAAUCCCACUUUGCUUCCUCUUGUAAUUGUAGUGCUAAUUAUUUGUUGUUAUUUUAUUUAAAUUCUUGCUACUUCUCCUGAUAUUGCGUUGAAACGGCGAUUUGGUAUGAUAAGGGAUAGCUUGCCAAAUGGUUGGCUACUUAGAGUUGCUUCUUUAGUCACAUUACUUAAUUCAAAUUGACGAUACUUUGAUGCAUAACAAACUUAUGUCCGAUACCUAUUUGCUAUUUUGUUUUUUUGGUCUUUGAUUUGGAUUGAUGAUAUGAUUAGACCUACUCAGUGCUCAUCCAAAAGAAAAAAAGGAUUUAUAUGUACUCUAUUUGUUUUUACGGGGAAGUUCAAAUUUAAAUCCUUCUUAUAUGUUCAUCAGUCAUCAAACAUGGCACGCACAAGUUGUAGGAACAAAUUGGAGCUUGUAUUUUACUUGUCCCUGCUGCUUGAAUGGCGACAUAGCUUCUGGUGCUUUGGUUACUUACUUACUUUGGAAGAGUUGGUUCCAUGUUUGCCGCACCUUAGACAUGGGGUCUCUCGUCUAGUAACUGGAAUUCUUUGAUUGACUUGCCGGUCUAUGUACGCGAUGGUGGUUGGAGGGAGGUGGUGUUGGAGACCAAAUGGAAGAAGGAGGUAAAAUGGGAUUGAGCGGGUGAGGUGGCACGCCACAUGGCGUCCAUUUCAGUGAAAUGUCAUGCCAUAUGAGAUAGUGUUAGCCAUGGUGGAGGGCCCUAACGGUAGAGGGGUAUUUUUGUAUCAAUUCUAUAACUCGGAAAUUGUGGUGGACGGAUAGUAUAAUAGAGGGUAUAAAUGAUCUUUUUCACAUAGUAGAGAGGUAUUUUUGACCUUUUUCCAUGCAAAGAUCUAUAUUUGCAGUUAGAGUUUAUCAAAGGAAAUAAGACACUAGCUGAAUCCAUAAAUUGCCAAUCCUUUAGGUUUCUGAUUCAGAACAUAUAAUUUAGAUUAACAAUAGUUGUAAAUGACUUGAUCAUAUUUCUAUCUAGAAGCUAGUUAGAAUGGUAUAGCAGCCAACUACAAUAUCCAAGGCUUAGCCAAACUGAUGAAGCACGAAAGCUGCAAUUGUCCUUAUACUCAAUGGUGGGAUAGAGACAAGUUUUUGCAUUGUAUUUGCAUCAGUUAUGCUAGAACUAUCUCUAUUUGCUCUCUGGUCUAGAUUUUUUUGUUUUGUUGAGUGGCCUCCCACUUAUGCUUUGUGUAGUCCUUAUGUGACUCUUUUGUGCUCUUGUAUAUCACUUCCCAUAUUGAUAUUGAAACACUUGUUGCAGAUGAUGAUGAAGAUUAAGAGUAUGGGUGGUUUUCGGAGAAUUUAGUCCUGUAGCCGCUCAUAUGACGAGUCAGCUUUGUUUGUUUUGUUGAAGAUGUGGUCAGCUUUGUUUGUUUAAGCUGCUGUUUCCUUUUUAUUAGGCUGCAGAAAUCAUUGAUUUUUGAAUCAGCUAAAAAACGCUUUAUGAUGGAAUUUUAUGUGGAGUGCCUCCAGUCGAGUUCUCUAAUAAUGAAAAUUGCAUUAUAAGUAAUAAAGCUACUUAUAUUAUGGUCCAUUCUCUGGCAUGGUGGAAGUGGACUCCCUUAAUACUUCACUGUCAAUUCAAUAUAACUACUUCAAACUUUCAGCAAUGUAUGAGUGUGUUAGGACAUAAGUUGUUGCUUGCUGAGCUUUAAUUAGCUCUUUCAACUGAAAAUUGGUUUUAAUAGUUGGUUCUGGUUGAGUCGGAUCAAUUCCAUUAAAUGGAAAGAAAAGCAUUGCAGGGAAAAAGAUGUCCCCAGAUUAUUAUGAUAUAUGGGUUUUGAUGCGUAUUACUGUUUUAGGAUUGUGAGGAUCGAUUAUAUGUAAACGUGGAAAGUAUAUGUUUCUUGAUAUUCUUAUGCUUCUCUUGCAAAAUAUCCACUUCUGUUAUUUGACAGUGCUAAUGAAUUGGUUUGUAGCUGAGACAGCAGCAUGGACCUCUAUGCUUAUUGGUUAAGGAUCAAUCUUACCACCAAAACAAUAGCUCCUCGCAACUUCUUGGAUUGGGAUAAUAUGACAUUUGCAGUACCUUCUCCAUUAAAAUUCUUGAUUAAAUUCUCUUACAAUAGCUCAAUUUGCCGAGCCAUCAGCCAUACUAUCAACUACUGUGGCUGAAUACAACCUCCAAUACCAGGUUGAGAAACUUGAUUUUGCAGGAAAACAUGUUUUGCUUGGUGGACUAUUGGUA